CAUGAGUGGUGUUUGGUUUGUUACGGGUGGUUGGCUCUUUGCUUGCGCAACAACUUCCACCUGGCAUACCUCUUCAGGCUUGUGUCAAUGCUUUUAUUGCAUUGAAUACACGAUGGGUUUCUUGUGUUGCAUGCCUAAUUAACGGUAUCGUUUGAUGAAUUGGUUUCCCUAUUCGUCUUCCCUYGCGUAUGUGAUGUGAGAUGAACCUUGAAUCAACCUUUGUGAUCCACACUUUUGAUGCAUUUGCAUUGAUUUUGUGGCCCAUUAAGUGUUGGUCGGUCUCAUGGAUAUGGAACAUGGUGUGGGCAUGGAAUCUUAAUGGUUCCUUGUUUGCCCAAGUUUAGCUUUUCUAAAACGAUUGUCUAUCAUGUGUUAACGUGGUAGACUACAUCGAAUAUGAUUGCUACCUGGUUGAUCCUGCCAGUAGUCAUAUGCUUGUCUCAAAGAUUAAGCCAUGC
rnacentral:misc_RNA from 1 species